GGAAACUGGGGAAGUGGGGAACCGAGGGGCAACCAGGGGAAGAUGGGGUGCUGGAGGAGAGCUUGUGGGAGCCAAGGAGCACCUUGGACAUCUGGAGUCUGGCAGGAGUGAUGACGGGUGGAGGGGCUAGCUCGAGGCAGGGCUGGUGGGGCCUGAGGCCAGUGAGGAGUGUGGAGUAGGCGCCCAGGCAUCGUGCAGACAGGGCGACAUCAGCUGGGGACGAUGGGCCUGAGCUAGGGCUGGAAAGAAGGGGGAGCCAGGCAUUCAUCCCGGUCACUUUUGGUUACAGGACGUGGCAGCUGGUUGGACGAGGGGAGCUGGUGGGCAGGGUUUGAUCCCAGGGCCUGGGCAACGGAGGUGUAGCUGGCAGCAGCGGGCAGGUGAGGACCCCAUCUGCCGGGCAGGUGAGUCCCUUCCCUCCCCAGGCCUCGCUUCCCCAGCCUUCUGAAAGAAGGAGGUUUAGGGGAUCGAGGGCUGGCGGGGAGAAGCAGACACCCUCCCAGCAGAGGGGCAGGAUGGGGGCAGGAGAGUUAGCAAAGGUGACAUCUUCUCGGGGGGAGCCGAGACUGCGCAAGGCUGGGGGGUUAUGGGCCCGUUCCAGGCAGAAAGAGCAAGAGGGCAGGGAGGGAGCACAGGGGUGGCCAGCGUAGGGUCCAGCACGUGGGGUGGUACCCCAGGCCUGGGUCAGACAGGGACAUGGCAGGGGACACAGGACAGAGGGGUCCCCAGCUGCCACCUCACCCACCGCAAUUCAUUUAGUAGCAGGCACAGGGGCAGCUCCGGCACGGCUUUCUCAGGCCUAUGCCGGAGCCUCGAGGCCUGGGCCUUUGAAUCCGGACACAAAACCCUCUAGCUUGGAAAUGAAUAUGCUGCACUUUACAACCACUGCACUACCUGACUCAGGAAUCGGCUCUGGAAGGUGAAGCUAGAGGAACCAGACCUCAUCAGCCCAACAUCAAAGACACCAUCGGAACAGCAGCGCCCGCAGCACCCACCCCGCACCGGCGACUCCAUCUUCAUGGCCACCCCCUGCGGCGGACGGUUGACCACCAGCCACCACAUCAUCCCAGAGCUGAGCUCCUCCAGCGGGAUGACGCCGUCCCCACCACCUCCCUCUUCUUCUUUUUCAUCCUUCUGUCUCUUUGUUUCUGAGCUUUCCUGUCUUUCCUUUUUUCUGAGAGAUUCAAAGCCUCCACGACUCUGUUUCCCCCGUCCCUUCUGAAUUUAAUUUGCACUAAGUCAUUUGCACUGGUUGGAGUUGUGGAGACGGCCUUGAGUCUCAGUACGAGUGUGCGUGAGUGUGAGCCACCUUGGCAAGUGCCUGUGCAGGGCCCGGCCGCCCUCCAUCUGGGCCGGGUGACUGGGCGCCGGCUGUGUGCCCGAGGCCUCACCCUGCCCUCGCCUAGUCUGGAAGCUCCGACCGACAUCACGGAGCAGCCUUCAAGCAUUCCAUUACGCCCCAUCUCGCUCUGUGCCCCUCCCCACCAGGGCUUCAGCAGGAGCCCUGGACUCAUCAUCAAUAAACACUGUUACAGC
rnacentral:lncRNA from 1 species